rnacentral:lncRNA from 1 species
AAGAGGAAUCUGCAAAGGAGACUGAGAAGGAACAAUAAGAAAGACAGAAGGACAACCACAGGACAUUUUGUCAUGGGAUAUGAGAGUGUUUCCAGAAGGUGAAGCCCAGUCAUGGCAAAUGCUAUAGAUACCUAAGAACUAAAAGGAGUUCCUGAAAACAUAAGCACCAAGAAGCCUUUACACCAGUACAUCCCCAUGCCUGGAACACUGCCUGCUUCACAGUAGUUACAUGUAAUUCUUGUUGAAUGAACAAAUGAGCCCAUUGGAACUUGCCAUGGAGGGCACUGGUGACUGUUGUCAUAGUGGCUUUGUGGAGUGUAGACACAAGCCUGGCACUGUCUAUGAAAAAAAAUACAGGAAAGGAGAGGUACAAGAGAACUCUGCAUUUGUCUUCUGCCCACAACUUCGUUGAAGAAGUGGAGAGGCCAAGCAACUCCAAGGCUGUUUGGAAGGAGAGCUGGGCUCUGCCUCCUGGGAGAGUUGGAGGACAUUUCUUCUCUGUGGAGUGUGAAGGGAGGACUGCCCUAUUCCUUGUCUGCUAGUGCUUGCCCCUGGGAGCCAGUGCAUCUUAUCCCUUUUAAUUCUCGCUGGCUCCCAGGGGCACGUAUUACCAUCCCAUUUUACGGGUGAGGAGACUGAGUUUCAGAGAGUUGUUCCUGUAUAGCUGUAAAUAUGGGAGGCCGAAUAGGAUGGGUUACAUCACCUGCAACUAGUUUUAUGGCCAACAGGAAUUCAUUUUCCUGGUUCUUGCAAAGCGGUGGAUAAGGCUGGGAAUUAGGAUGCCCUCCUUCUACUCUAGUCAUGCCAGUUUGGCCUCUGCUCUAUAAACAGCCCUUGUUCUUUUCUGUCUCCUAGAUUCUCUCACAUAGCUUCCCCAACUUGGAAUGCCACUCUCCCUCCCACCAGUUCAACUCCUGCAUACCUGAAAGGCCCAGCUAACCUCUUCCCACAGGAACCUUCCCUGCCCACUCUAGCUCUUGGCCAUCUCUCCCUACUCUAACUCUAACAAUUGCAUUCUGUGCCAUAAAAUCAAACUCUUCAUGACAGUACUGCCUUUUAUGAUUUGCUCAUUGUUUCCAUUUCAUUCGUCUCAUUCCAUCAGCCAGACUGAUCCGUGUAAGGGCAGGGACCGAGCACGGACACUUCCCCUAGAUGCCCCACUGUUUCCAGCUGAGUGCUGCCAUAAAGUUGCACUCGGUGACUCCUAUUUGGCUAACAUUCUAAACAUGAGCCAAGGGUCUUUGCUACAAGACAGUGAGGGGUGGUACUAUUGGGCUUUCAACCAUUAAUGAGCUAGCAGCAACUUCCCCUCACUUGGUGGCCAGCCUGCCUGGUUCCUCCAGACUGUCAAGAAGGAUUGCACCUGAGUUAGCUGAGAAAGAGAGACAGAGCUUAAUUGUAUGCUCCGUUCACACUAAGGCACCCAAGGACUACUUAGACCAGAAGCGUGGGCAGGUGUAACCACGUGGGGCUGGGGCUCCGGGGGCUCUGUGCAGCCUCCUUCCCUCCCAGGUAUGUGACGAUUGAGGAUAAGUAAGUGAAAUGCAAACAGUUAUAUACAUAACAAACAAUCUGGUCUAAAGUUGAAAACCACAAGGUGAAUUAUUGGAGUAUUUCUUUCUGGGGCCCAGCCUGGAAGGAGAAGAGACGGAAGGUGUCCACCUGCGCCAGCCGUGGUGUUUGGGUGAGGCACAGGUUGAAAGCAAUUACAGGGCUCUUGGGAAACAGCCUCGGCCCUGGAACUGUGGCAAGAACUUGGACUCGGUGGCCUGGUUUCAAAUUAUUGGAGUACUCUUUUUGGAAUAUUUCUGUGCUUUCUGUUGAAAGUUUGAGGCUGUUCAAUGACAUUAUCUAAGGCCAAGCCCUUUUUCCUGUUACCUUCUCAGCAUACAUGAGUGGUCAUUUCUUACCUCUAUAGCUUAUAAUGUGUUUUCACAUCUGUCAUCCCAUUUACUUCUUGCAAGACUUUGGAAGGGAAUAACAGUAACAAUAACAAUGUUAAUAAAAAUGUUGAUAUUUAUUAAAUACUUACAUGUUCUAGGCAUCAAGGGCACUAAGGGCUUUAUGUGUAUUAAUUGGUUUGUUCCUCACCGUUUCACAGAUGCAGAAACUGAGGCACUGAGAAGAAUGAUUUCAGACCAUACAGUCUUCCAAGUGGCAAAGCCUGGGCUUGAACCAGGUCUCCUGACCUACAACUUGGCAGAGAGAGGGACAACCACCAUGUCCCCUUGUCCGUGGCUGCAUCCAGUGCCGAUUUAACUCAGCACUUCCGGGAAGCCCCUUUCUCACCCUGGCCCCAGGCUCGUUCCUGGGGAAGAUUCAGUGAUUGGGUUGGUAUCCUGAACUCAAGGGAGGGAGACAGGAGAACUGGGCUUAGCUUGGUCAUUCCCUUAACCUCUCCAAGCCAAAAUUUUGUUAUCUGCAAAUUAGGAAUGAUGGUUCUAAAAUAUCUGAUAGGCCUGUUGGAAGCAUCUCAUGAGACAGCGUAAAUAUAAAGCACUUGUAAUCAAAUUCCCCUCCUCUUCCCUUUCCCUGCUGUUCCAGGGAGCGUUGCAUGUAUAGACACAGGGUUUAUUGUUGAAUUGACAUAUUUAUUUGCUGGGCCACAUUACUGAAUAUAAUAAGGCAAGACCCACUGAAAGGAACUCUGACUUCUGGUAUCCCCUGGGAAGGAGGCCUGUCUUCAGUAUGGAAGUAAGAUCUCAGAAAGUAGGUCGUGGGUGAGAGAGAGACAUCUGGCUCCUUGGCCUCUUUCUCUCCAGCCUGGACCUUGUGGACUCUAGACAGGCUGGAGGAUAUCCUUUGCAGACAAGUGGGGCUGGGCAGAGAGCCUCUCUGUGUGGGCCACAGGGUGCGGCAGUCACCUUAAGGGUUACUUGCAUGUUAUUCCCCACUUGAGUUACAUCUUGUUGAAAAGCUCCAGCCUGGUCUCAGCCGCGCCACUGAGGACAACAGGGUAUUCAAGUCUGGGCUUUUGGGGUAAGUAAGAACAGCAGUGCAUGCUGGUCAGCAGGGUGCGCUGCCAGUGGCGUGUGUUGGUGGGAAUGUCCCCAAGGCAAAGGGGGACCAAGAGCAGAGGUAGGAGAUACGGCCACCCAAGUGGAGAUCCUCCCUGCCAGCACUCCUUUGGUCAACAAACUGCAUUCCAGGUCUUACUGAAGGGGCUCUUGAGUGCUGAGAGCUCCACGAGAGGAAGAAGAUGCCUGGGUGCUGAGUAAGGAAACUGACAUGGAACACCUGCCUUCCACCAGGCAGGGCUGCUGGGAACACCGUGGGCAUUUUCUCACUUCAUUUUCACAAUGACCCUACGAGGUAGGUGCUGUGACUUUCUCCCGUGUUUGGGGAAACUUGGCCUUGGAGAGGUUAGCUGGUGCACCCCAGGGGCCAGGCCGUGGGUGACCAGGCUGGGAUCCAAAGCCAGGUCUGUGGGACUCACCUGCUGGUGCCAUCUCCACACACCCUGCAGUGUGCCUGGGGUGGCUUGGCCUGCUGUGGCCCUUUGUUUCUCUUUGAGAGAAGGGAGGGAAUGUUUAUUUCACUAACUGGGAUGGUGAGAUCAUUAUCACCCUCAAAAAGCAUGUAUUAAAUCCCUAAUAGUUCAUGGCACUGAGCACAGGACUGAAUUAUUUUGUACACAAAAAUAAUUAACAGAAGGACACAGAUAGGGUCUCUGCCUUCUGGGAACACAGGAUCCCCAGCACGUGAAGGUGAACUCAAGUGCCAUGCCUGUAAAGCCGAGGCCGUGGUGCCAUUCUCAGGAAGCCUGAUGACCUGUGUGACUUUGGGCAGUUCCUCACUCUCUGCAAGCUUUCUCCAGGCUUGCCACAUGGUGAGAUAAUAUACGGAAAGCACUUAGCAAGUGCUCAACAUAUACUGUACAUUCUCAAUCAUCAAUAACUAUUAUUACAGCCAUUGGGUAGAUGGCUUGUACCCAAAAUGGAUUUAGGGAUGAGGGAAAGGUUUAUGGUUAAACACUUUUUUAGGGGGUGGGGGGGUAGAGUCUCAUUCUGUUGCCCAGGCUGGAAUACAGUGGAGAGAACAUGGUUCACCUGCAGCCUCUACCUCCUGGGCUCAAGCAAUCCUCCCACCUCAGCCUCCUGAGUAGCUGGGACCACAGGUGCAUGCUACCAUCCCUGAGUAAUUUUUUAAUUUUUCUGUAGAGUCAGGGCCUCACCAUGUUGCCCAGGCUGGUCUCGAACUCCUGGGUUCAAGUGAUCCUCCUGCUUUGGCUUCCCAAAGUGUUGGGAUUACAGGUGUGAGAGACCGUGCCUGGCCAGAAAGAAGACCCUUGAUUGCACAGUGGAGGCGCCCUUUCCCUACUCCACUGCUCUGUGGCUGUGGAAAGGCUACAGGGCUCUUGUUUUCCUUACAAGAAAAUGUUCUCAUUCUUCUGAGAUAAGGAGGGCUCAGCCUUUAUGGAGCAAUCCUUCAAGUGUCUGUCUCUUAGUCACUGGUCUUUAGUUCUUUAUUCUGGAGAGAUGUGUGGCUUUCCUGAGGCAAAAGAGGUGAAGGAACUGUGCAGGCUAGAGCUAUUAGUGACCUGCAUACAGUAACAUUGUGCACAUGUACCCUAGAACUUAAAAUAUAAUAAAAAUAAAAAAUAAAAAAAAGAACUCAAUAAGUGCUGACUGACCGGCAUACCAGGGUGGGGGGUGCCCAGUUUCCCCAGACCUACAAAGGAGCCUGCUGUCCUUUCAGUAUUUGCCUGAGGGACAAAAUGACAGAGCCGCGAACCCAUCAGGUAAGACAUCUGGGGCUGCCAGGGCUGCAGAUGCAGACGGAGGGCUCCCAGAGGAGCUUUCACCCUGUGAGGUCCUGCAGUGUGCACCCUUUGCCGUGCACAGCUGGACAGGGAUUGACUGAGGAGCCCCAGUGACACAAGGGCACAUCCUUUGGAAAAUCUCUUUUGUUUCUUCCUGGCAGAGGCCGGGUAAGACACAAGCUUCAUGCUUAAUGGCCUGUCAGGGGGGAAACAAAUCCACAGCAGUAGAGAGAAAAAGAUUAAACUAAUAAUAAAACCAAACCCAAACAUCACCGCCCUCCCACCCCUCCGCCCCAGCCCACACCUGACACUGUGAGCUGUCUUCCAGCCAGUUCCCCUCCCAGGCAAAUAAUAUUUAUUCCAUGAGGCCCUGACACACCGGUCCCCAAUAAGACAAUGCUUCAUUGUUUCUUCUUUCCCCCCUGCAGCAAACCAUGGGUGCAGCAGAAGACAUGAAAAGGGAAAGGAGCGAGGUUGCUGCUCUUCUCGUGGGACCAGCUCCCGGUGCUGUCAAAACAAGCCUGAGAUAAGGGCGGGCAAGGGGUGGCAGGCUCAGAGAUUAGCGCUGCUACUGCCCAACCUGCUCAGAAAGUUUCAUUCUUUUAGCAAAGUUCCUGGCAGCUGUGACCACUUAAACGGCUUUUGCUUCCAUUAAACAGGAGACUCAUUAAGUCACGGAGCUUAAAACAGCUCUAAAGGGCCCAGUAGUCAUUCCUCAGUGAAAAGUGCCAAUUCAUUGCUUGGUAGAUUAAAAAAAAACCUGGAGGUUCGCAGUCAGAGGUGAGUUUCUGUAGCAUUGGGGUUGACGGUUGACCUCGAGGUGACCUUGUGCUAAAAAAACGGUCUUGUGUGAGUCAAAGAGGCCUGCACUGGUGGUGCAGUGAGAAGAGGGAAGGUUCAGACACAGAGAGGAAUCGGAUUGUCAGUUUCCCCAGGUUCUCAGCAGCUGCCCUGUCUGUUCAGACCUGAAAGGUCCAGACAGAUGUCUUAUCGAUGUUAGGGUUUAUCAAUACAUUUAUCAAUGGGAUGUAUGUUGCAGGCCGAGACAGUUUGUGUUUUCCCAGUCCAAGUUUACUUCCUCGUGGAUCAGCCACAGCCAUCAGGGGCAGGACAAGUCGCGCCUUGAAACUAGGGAUGGUGUCCCUUUCUUCUUUGAGCAGUGCCUGUAGACAAUUUACAGAAAGGAGGGGAACAAAUGAUAACCCCAGGGGCUGACCUACAUUGCCCUCUUUCAUAGGGGAGCCCACCCCUCACUCAGCAAUGGUCCAAGGUGGCUAAACCAGCCAGUAGGCGGGAACAUCGUGACUGCUCACGAGGGCAAAGUGGGCCAGGUGCGGUGGCUCACACCUGUAAGUCUAGCACUUUGGGAGGCUGAGGUGGGCAGAUUGCCUGAGCUAAGGGAGUUUAAGACCAGCCAGCCUGGGCACAUGGUGAAACCCCGUCUCUACUAAAAUACAAAAAAUUAGCUGGGCAUGGUGGUGCGUGCUUGUAGUCCCAGCUACUCGGGAGGCUGAGGCAUGAGAAUUACUUGAACCUGGAAGCGGAGGUUGCAGUCAGCCUGGGUGACAGAGCGAGAUUCUGUCUCCAAAACAAACAACAACAGCAAAAAACAAAAACCAAAACCAAGGAACAAGGGCAAAGUGAAAACCUGUUUCUGGGGAGUACUCACUGGCUUUCCAAAAGCUUUCAUUUAUUCUAACUCAUAAUUAGGUGGAGUGAGCAGGGAAGGUAUUACUAUCCCCAUUUUACGGCUGAAGAAACUGAGGUUCAAGAAAGUUAAGCGACACCUAAGCAAGCAUCUCAAACCCCGGGACUUUUGGUUCCUAGCCUGGUGCUCUUACUACGUUAACACUGUGAGCUUUAUCCUAGGUGGCUGUGGAACUCCAGGACUCAACUUCCAGCCUGCUCUCUGUCCACCUUGCCAGCAUCCCCUUUUCACUUGUCAGGACCCAGCCAGACUACCUGCUUCACUGGAGGCCUGGCAUUGGAAGCCAAUCAGCAGAAAGAUGAAAAGAGUUUUUCUCCCUGCCCGUUUCACUGAGGUCAGAAAGCAGCUAGGAGAAGAAUGAAAAAGUUUGGGGUGGAUGUCUUUCCCUGCAAGAGAGAGUGCCCCUUCCUUAAGUUGUCUCAUCAGCAGUUUCACUCUUUCCUGGGGCUGACUGGGAGGAACUGAUUGCAUCUGCACAGAACCAUGAACAUAGAUUGUGGGAACUGAGGUAGGACAUUUGCCAAAGGGAACUCCAGGAAUACUUGGCUCCCUGCAACUCCAGUGUGAGGGACAUGCAGCCUCACGGCUACCCGGUGGAUAACGAGCGGUCUGGAAAUACCACUCCGUAAGAAUUCUGAUGGGCUCUGGGAUCCAGGACUAAAGAGGCUUGAUCCUGGCUGGAAAACCUGGGGUAACUGGCAGUCUGGUUUAUCCCAUGUGGGAUUACUCAGCCUGUAAAAGUUCUAUUUAUUUGUUAAGGGAGGGCAGAUCCAUAUCCCAUCUGUUGACACCUGGACGGCAGAGGGGCAAGCACUGCACCGCCUUGCCCAUCAGCACCCUGGCGGUGGCACUCCCUGCCAAGCUGCUGUGGUGGCUGGGAAGAACACCUGGUGGGUGAGUGAGUGAUGGGAGAGCCUCCCACUGGCAGCUGCCGACCUGCCGAGAGCCAUGAUCGUCACUUAGUGGAAUGGAAGGCCCAGGCAAGUAGGCUGAGAGCACGGCUCCAAACAUGUUUCCCUCACACACAUGCCCCAGAGUGGGCCUGACCUUGUCAGUGAAACCAGGCUCACCAGCUCCCAGAAGCUGCCUCUCCAAGAGUGUCUCGGAGGUUUCCCAGCAUUUCUUUUCAGGCUGUGUUAGUUUUGGCUCCAAGACCAAAUAAGCAGAAGAUUCGAGAGGUUUUAAAUCUUCAAUUCCAAUGCCGAUCAGGGCCCACCCACACUUUAACUGUGAUGUCUUUCUGUGGUUUCAGUUCAGAGGUCAGAAGAGCAGAGAGGAGGAGCUACCUAAAGUUUUAGAGGGGGAGAUUCACCUGGUUUCAAGGCGAUGUCAAAAAACAGAAUUAGUGUGAGAACGACUGGCAUUUGCAAAGAGCACAGGAUCUGUGCUGAAGAUACAAGCCUUCCAAAGCUGGCACCAGCAUAAAUCAACUGUGCAACCUUGAGCAACUGAAACAGACCUUCUGGAUCUCCAUUUCCUCACCAAGAAACAAAAGAAGUUGGAUCGAUGCUCUCCCAGGGCCCCUUCCAGUUCAACCUUUUAUGGUUAUACAACUACUCUCAGCACGAUGUCCUUUAUUUAUCAAGAAAAUAGCAUUGGCACACCUCAGGUAGGACAUGUGCUUGAGUUGUUCUUUCUGCUGUGCUGAGAGGUUCUCAGUGCUCCACCCCUACACCUGCCCAUCCCUUUUGCCCACCAGUUUCCAUGCAAGAAGGCUUGCCCCGUGGCCUCUGCUGUCCUCUAGAGUCCCUCAGAGGAUGCCAUCCAAUGGCCACAACAGGGCUGGCAGGUCUAGGUCUCAAUUCUGACCCCAGGAGCUGACUUGGGUGGUUGCAGGCAGAACUUAGCUUCUCUGGGCCUCAUCUACCGAAUGGGAUAAAUCGUCCGUCCUGGGAAAACACUCUGAGAUGCUUUGGUGAGAAAAGCAAGAGGCGCGUGAAGCGGCCCUGUUGUGGAGGCUGAGGAUCUCAAUCCCAGAGUCUUUGAGAACUAGUGGCCCUUUACUAAUGGGCUGCACACCCAACAGAAUGUUGUUGAUUCCCAGUUUACGUGGAACUAAACCCUGCUGGCAGAUGCUGGGUGACUUAUUCACAUGCAUUGUGAACUUGGAUCAAGACUCCUUCUUUUUGGAUUAGUUCUGAGCCUGGUUUUAAAGCAUCUUGCUGGAACAGUGAGUGGUUCUGCAAGGCAUUUCAGCGAGCCCUUUACAAGCUCACUCAUCAGGCCUUGGGGAACGAGGCUUACUUCAACCAGCUCAGCUUGGAUGCCAUGCUGGAGGCUGCUGAGUCACACAGGCAGAGCCCGUUACCUGCCAAACGUGGCUUUUCUGGAUCCACCUUUCCGGUGUGAUGAACUCACAGGAUUAAUCUGAGAGCUUGUCCCUUCUCUUCUCUCUUCCCUCUCUCCUUUCCCGUUGCCCUCACCUGCAGCUGUUGCCCCUCAGGUGAGAGCACCUGAGCUGGAAAAGUGGGGGCAAUGAGUCUCAGGCUCCAAGAGCUUCUCUCUGAAACAAGCCAGGAAAUGGCCUAAUCGCCCUAGGGAUGAAGGGGCCCCACUUUGCAAGAGAUCCCUGAAUGGAGAUGGGAAUUAAUGGAGAGCAUCCUUCAGAACCAUUCAGAACUACUUGGAUGUUACUGAAUCUGCCAAGUCCUCUCAGGCCUCUGUAGCUUUGAACUUCUAUUUCUUCUGGCCAGAAUUCUCUUCCGUCCUCACCUGCCUGGUGAACAGGGCAAGAAAUGGAAAGCGUAUCCAAUCCAG